UUUCCGUAGGUGAACCUGCGGAAGGAUCAUUAUUGAAACUUCAUCCGGGGCGCCGCGGCCCUCAGCACCGGUGGAAACGCCGUGCUGCGGGGGCCGCGCGUGCACUCGUCCAAACCAAACCCCUGUGAACCUUACGGGAUGGCCCGGGUUAGCGCCCGGUGCCGUUCCGCUUUAUACAAACACUUAUCAAAGAAUGAACUGAAGGCGGUCUGUCCGCUGGAUAACAAACUGAAACAACUUUCAACAACGGAUCUCUUGGCUCUC
rnacentral:misc_RNA from 1 species